GUAGCAGCAGGCGCGAAACUUUCCCACUCGAGACUUUCGGAGGAGGUAAUGACCAGUUUCAUGUAAAGCUUAUGCUUUUGAGAAUAGGAUCGCACUUUUCCAGUGCGGUGAAACCUAGCAGAGGGCCAGUCUGGUGCCAGCAGCUGCGGUAAUUCCAGCUCUGCGAGUUUGCUCCCAUAUUGUUA
rnacentral:rRNA from 1 species